CCUGCCCUUUGUACACACCGCC
rnacentral:ncRNA from 3 species